UACGGAGGGUGCGAGCGUUGUCCGGAUUUAUUGGGCUUAAAGGGCGCGCAGGUGGUCCGGUCAGUCAGUGGUGAAAUGCGGCCGCUCAACGGUCGAACUGCCAUUGAUACUGCCUGGCUUGAGAGGAGUGGAGGCCGCCGGAACGGACGGUGUAGCGGUGAAAUGCAUAGAUAUCGUGAAGAACGCCGAUUGCGAAGGCAGGUGGCUACGCUUCGUCUGACGCUGAGGCACGAAAGCGUGGGGAGCGAACAGG
rnacentral:rRNA from 1 species